rnacentral:tRNA from 1 species
UUAAUUGAAACCAAAGAAGAGGUUUAUCACUGUUAAUGAUAGAAUUGGAUACUAUCCCAAUUAGG